AUAAUGUUUUAUGUUGUGUUGCACAAUAUUUACAGGCUUUUUUUGUGCAUAAAGAAAUCAAUAAGUACAGGUCAAGCACUCAUGCAACACUGAUUUGUAUAGAAGGAACAAGUCAAUGUUUGUUUCAUUCAAAGUUUCGUGUUGUAUUACCUUUAAGUAAUUAUCUUGACUUUGCUAUUCUGAAAAUAAAUAAUACAUAGCUAUACGAGGCAAUGCUUUGCACAGGAAUACACAGCCAACAUAAAGAUCAAAAUGUGUCUCUGUAAUAUUGAUGUUGCAACAAUGGGAGUGGUAUGGAAUGCAUUUUUUGAAUCUGUAUUUUGAUUUUCCAUGUUUGAAUUACUCAGUAAAUCAUCAUUUAACACAUCAA